rnacentral:rRNA from 1 species
GAUGAACGCUGGCGGCGUGCCUAAUACAUGCAAGUCGAGCGAACAGACGAGGAGCUUGCUCCUCUGACGUUAGCGGCGGACGGGUGAGUAACACGUGGAUAACCUACCUAUAAGACUGGGAUAACUUCGGGAAACCGGAGCUAAUACCGGAUAACAUGUUGAACCGCAUGGUUUAACAGUGAAAGACGGUCUUGCUGUCACUUAUAGAUGGAUCCGCGCCGCAUUAGCUAGUUGGCAAGGUAACGGCUUACCAAGGCAACGAUGCGUAGCCGACCUGAGAGGGUGAUCGGCCACACUGGAACUGAGACACGGUCCAGACUCCUACGGGAGGCAGCAGUAGGGAAUCUUCCGCAAUGGGCGAAAGCCUGACGGAGCAACGCCGCGUGAGUGAAGAAGGUCUUCGGAUCGUAAAACUCUGUUAUUAGGGAAGAACAAAUGUGUAAGUAACUAUGCACGUCUUGACGGUACCUAAUCAGAAAGCCACGGCUAACUACGU